rnacentral:rRNA from 1 species
AUUGAACGCUGGCGGCAGGCCUAACACAUGCAAGUCGAACGAGUGGCGGACGGGUGAGUAAUGUCUGGGAAACUGCCCGAUGGAGGGGGUUACCUACUGGAAACGUUGCUUAUUCCCCCAUACCUUCGGAUUUCCCCAGAUGGGUUGAGUGGGUAGUUGGGGUAACGGCUACCCUAGGCGACGAUCCCUCGCUGGUCUGAGAGGUGGACCAGCCAAACUGGAACUGAGACACGGGCCAGACUCCUACGGGAGGCAGCAGGGGGGAAGAUUGCACAAUGGGCGCAAGCCUGAUGCAGCCAUGCCGCGUGUAUGAAGAAGGCCUUCGGGUUGUAAAGUACUUUCAGCGAGGAGGCGUUACUCGCAGAAGAAGCACCGGCUAACUCCGUGCCAGCAGCCGCGGUAUUC